rnacentral:rRNA from 1 species
CCUACGGGAGGCAGCAGUGAGGAAUAUUGGUCAAUGGACGAGAGUCUGAACCAGCCAAGUAGCGUGAAGGAUGACUGCCCUAUGGGUUGUAAACUUCUUUUAUAAAGGAAUAAAACGAGGCACGUGUGCCUUUUUGAAUGUACUUUAUGAAUAAGGAUCGGCUAACUCCGUGCCAGCAGCCGCGGUAAUACGGAGGAUCCGAGCGUUAUCCGGAUUUAUUGGGUUUAAAGGGAGCGUAGAUGGGUUGUUAAGUCAGUUGUGAAAGUUUGCGGCUCAACCGUAAAAGUGCAAUUGAUACUGGCAGUCUUGAGUGCAGUUGAGGUAGGCGGAAUUCGUGGUGUAGCGGUGAAAUGCUUAGAUAUCACGAAGAACCCCGAUUGCGAAGGCAGCUUACUAAACUGUGACUGACAUUGAUGCUCGAAAGUGUGGGUAUCAAACAGGAUUAGAUACCCUUGUAGUC